GUUCAAACGAGGAAGGGAUUAUGGUGGAUACCUAGGCACCCAGAGAUGAGGAAGGGCAUGUUAAGUGACGAAAUGCUUCGGGGAGUUGAAAAUGAGCAUAGAUCUGGAGAUUCCCGAAUAGGUUAACCUUUUUAACUGCUGUUGAAUCCAUGGGUAGGCAAGAGAUAACCUGGCGAACUAAAACAUCUUAGUAGCCAGAGGAAUAGAAAGAAAAAGUGAUUCCCAUAGUAGCGACGAGCAAAAUGGGAGCAGCCUAAACCGUGAAAACGGGGUUGUGGGAGAGCACAAUAUAAGCUCUGUGCUACUAGGUGAAGUGGUUGAGUCCUGCACCCUAGAUGGUGAGAGUCCAGUAGCCAAAAGCAUCAUUGGGUUACGCUCUAACCCGAGUA
rnacentral:ncRNA from 1 species